AGUAAAGAUCAUUUUACUUUCACUUUCGAUUCCCUACCGGAGCAAGGAUCCAGCAGGCUCUUGCGAAGAUCCCAGGUCCCCAGGCAUCUUCUCCUGCAGGAUGACACUGAAAUGCUAACAUCCAACCCAUCUACAUAGGCACCCUUGAGACAAUGUGUGAUGUCCACUGUGAAGCAAAUCAGGAAGGGUGCGGACUUUGGCAUCGGCUUCCCGCAGAGACUAGGAUUCAAACUUGCACCCGGCCAUAAACUGAAGCAACUGGAAUUAGAGAGGAGUGGGGUGUGAAGGUAUGCUUUCCAAUGGACCUUUGACACCCAAGAGAAGGG